CCUACGGGAGGCAGCAGUGAGGAAUAUUGGUCAAUGGACGAGAGUCUGAACCAGCCAAGUAGCGUGAAGGAUGACUGCCCUAUGGGUUGUAAACUUCUUUUAUAUGGGAAUAAAACGUUCCACGUGUGGGAUUUUGUAUGUACCAUAUGAAUAAGGAUCGGCUAACUCCGUGCCAGCAGCCGCGGUCAUACGGAGGAUCCGAGCGUUAUCCGGAUUUAUUGGGUUUAAAGGGAGCGUAGGUGGAUUGUUAAGUCAGUUGUGAAAGUUUGCGGCUCAACCGUAAAAUUGCAGUUGAAACUGGCAGUCUUGAGUACAGUAGAGGGUGGCGGAAUUCGUGGUGUAGCGGUGAAAUGCUUAGAUAUCACGAAGAACUCCGAUUGCGAAGGCAGUUCACUGGACUGCAACUGACACUGAGGCUCGAAAGUGUGGGUAUCAAACAGGAUUAGAUACCCGUGUAGUC
rnacentral:rRNA from 1 species